CAAAAGGAAGGAAAAGGCAAGCCACAGCACUCCGCAGAGGAGCGAGCGCAACAGAGGUGUUCAAGACAUCUGCCCUCAGAAAGGCUCCCUGCCAGUUCGCCCCAGAACGCUUAGCAGAGAACAGAUCAACUCGCCUCAACAGUGAGCAGCCAACGGUUUCCCCAUUCCACCAGGAUGGAGAAUCAGCAGCACAGCCCCACAAAGGAGCCGGAGAUCGAGCUUUUUGUGAAGGCUGGCCUGGAUGGAGAAAACAUUGGGAAUUGCCCCUUCUGUCAGCGCCUCUUCAUGGUGCUGUGGCUCAAAGGAGUCAAGUUCAAUGUGACCACAGUGGACAUGACCAGGAAACCUGAAGAGCUAAAAGAUUUAGCGCCAGGCACCAACCCACCCUUCUUGCUGUUCAACAAGGAGCUGAAAACAGACUUCAUUAAGAUUGAGGAGUUCCUGGAGCAGACCCUUGGCCCACCCACGUAUCCACACUUGAGCCCUAAAUACAAGGAGUCCUUCGAUGUGGGUAGUGACAUCUUUGCCAAGUUCUCAGCGUAUAUCAAGAAUCCACGCAAAGAAGCAAAUAUCAAUUUUGAGAAGGCCCUACUGCGGGAGUUUCAUCGCCUGGAUCUCUACCUGAACACCCCUCUCCCUGAAGAGAUUGACCAGGACAGCAUGGAGGAUGUCACUGUCUCCAAGAGAAAAUUCCUGGAUGGAGACCACCUGACAUUAGCUGACUGCAACCUCCUGCCCAAACUGCACAUCAUCAAGAUCGCAGCCAAGAAGUACCGUGACUUUGAGAUCCCGGCGGACAUGACAGGUGUCUGGCGUUACCUGCACAAUGCCUAUGCCUGCGAUGAGUUCAGCCACACGUGCCCAGCGGAUGAAGAGAUAGAGCGCACCUAUGCCAGCGUUGCCAAGAAGAUGACCUAGUGCGGCUGCUAGAAGCACACUGGCAAUACUGCCUCUGUCCAGACCCGCUAUGUCUCCGUAGUCCUGAUACAACCAAACCCCAGCUGAGAGAGGAACUGGAGGGGGAUUUAUGGCACCGUUAGCCACUGCCUUUUGGAAACAACGCCUUGCUUCACAGCCGCUGCUGUUCCCUCCUCCUCUACUGGCUGGCUGCAGCCCUGAUAAGCACGCCAUCACCACUGACCAUGCUUAUCGACUGGUCACUACCUGGCUGCAGUUGCAACUACUUCCCCGUCCCCCAAAGACCAAUCUCCUUCUGGAGUUGCCAGUUUGGCCUUGAACCACACAUCACUGAAAAGGUGACCACUAGCCUUUGGUAUCAGCACCCUUGGGGGAAGAGAUGAGAUCUCAAACAGUCUUGCCAGCUACUGCCAUGUUAUCCGGUGCUGGAACUGCACGAGCAUCUAGUGCCCUACUCUGCCUGGCCCUGGUCUCUGCGACUGCCAGCUCCACACAGGCCCAGCAGUCCUGUAUGCUCAGGAAAAAGUGUCCAGGUGUCCAGGGAUACCAGCACAUCACAGGCUCAUGGGAGGUAUAGCUGUUUGAAUUCACCUAGUCGUUCUCCUGCGCAGCACCCCAGAAUCUGUAGCUGGUAAAGUGUCUCUUCCACUAAGGCAUCCAUGCUUGAUCUGAAGACACCUAGAGGUUCCAUACUCAGCAGUUUAUUGCAGUAAUUAACUACCCUCACUGCUAAAGGCAAAGAAUUGUAACGUGCAUACCCUUGUAGGGGCAUGUAGAUUUCGGGGAUGAUGCCUGGUGUGAGAGUGCCAGGACAUGCCGUAGGUUGGGAAGGAGGUGCAUGGGGGUUCUGUGGAGGGCUCAGAGCAGAUGGCUCUGCUGAGUGUGCUGGGAUCUCCUUGCAGACCAGCCUGGUGCAGCUAUGGCUCCGCAGGUGUCGGGGCAUUCCUCCUGAGCGUAGUAGUAGAACUGAAAGCACCUAGCUCCACAUGCAGCUGGCUGUAAAGCCCACCUGGCUCCUGUGAGCUAAGAAACCUGUCUCUGCCCUGCCUAACACCAUGGGAGAUGCAGCUAUGUGCAAACCCAACUCUACCACCACAUCCCCAAUCCCCAUCAAAACUGAAGAUGUCUGAUUUGGAGAGGUGUAGGGUAGUACAUUCAUGUUGUUUCCACACCCCAGGACCAAUCAGCCUGAGAGAGCAGGCAAAAAUUGUUUUGCAAAGCAUUGUUUUUGUAGGAGAUACCUGGGCAGGUUUGGUGCCAGCCUACUGUCGUUGGCUCUUUUUGUCCCUUCCCAUCCAGCAUCUAUGAUGUAAAAUGAAUUGAAGCCACUCUGAAUGGCUAUGAGUUCUCAUCUUCCCCCAUUAGAUACCUCCAGCUCCCCCCAGGGCUCCUGUCAGCCCUAACGAAUUCAGCCAGCUCUCCCCAGCCUGCCCUCAUGGGCAAAAAAUACUGUAAUCCGAGUGUAACGAGCUCUGCGGAGACACAGAGAUGGCAGAAUCACCCUCCAGAUCUCACUACCGCUUCCCUCUUUGCACUAAAAGAUGUGUCCUUGCAAGCCUGUUUCUGAUAGCGCUGGGUUUGGGGACUAGUUUUGUUUUAAGGGAUUUUGGUUGGUUGGUUGGUUGGUUGGUUUGUUUUUAACUAAGAAC